rnacentral:rRNA from 1 species
UACAGGGGGGGCAAGCGUUGUUCGGAAUUACUGGGCGUAAAGGGCUCGUAGGCGGCCAACUAAGUCCGACGUGAAAUCCCAAAGCUUAACUUUGGAACUGCGUCGGAUACUGGAUGGCUUGAAUUCGGGAGAGGGAUGCAGAAUUCCAGGUGUAGCGGUGAAAUGCGUAGAUAUCUGGAGGAAUACCGGUGGCGAAGGCGGCAUCCUGGACCGACAUUGACGCUGAGGAGCGAAGGCGUGGGGAGCGAUCCGG